rnacentral:misc_RNA from 1 species
GUGUAGGUGAUUUUUUCAUCGUCAUGGCUGGACAAUAUUUCGAUAUUUCAGACGAAGUACUACAAAUGCAUAAAGAAAUUAAAGAGAAUGGGAAAUAUAAUUACAUGAUAUGUAAGAUUAAUCGUGAACGGCUGGUGAUUGAACAUAUUGAACAACUCUACGACUUAGAAGGAAAUCAGCCUUACCAAGACUUCCUGAGAACUUUAUCGGCCAAACAGGAAUUUAGAUACGGAUUUGUCAGCUACAACUUAAACAAAGACAAUAACCUCUUACGGAAAACUGUGGGAGUCAUGUGGCAAGAAAACGCAUUUUUCAAAGAUGUUCCAUUAAUGAUUUUAUAUUAUAAAUAAGAUUUGAAAAAUCUAAGACAAUAUAUAAUCAUUUUAUGAGCGUAUGUUCGAUUAUAUCUUGAUAUAUAAUCUUAGGUUCACUUUUUGUCUAAGGUUACCAACAUUUCAGAUGAAGAAGAAAUUCGAACAAGCCGCAUCAACUCUCAAAGACGUUCUUUCUGCGGAUUUAUUCCUGGAAGCCAUCACAGAACUAAGUCUUAGUAGCAUAUGCAUUGAAUCCGGUUUUAGAAAAUUCGGUGAAUGAGUAAAUGAUUAAUUUAGUUGUGUUCAAUCAAAUUGUUGAAUAGGUUUUUAUCUCAGUUUCAUGAAGCUGUUGCGUGUAUUUCCUGUUUAAAAAGUUAAGAUUGUAGAAUCUUACCUGCAAAAUUAAAGCCGCCACCAAAAGACUCAAAUUGGAAUUUAAAAGACUUUUAUAAAAUUGUUUUUUUGGAAAAUGUUUAUUAAUAAAUCAUUAAUUAACUUAUGAAUCAUGAAGACUACAUUAGGUCUUUUAAACAGCUGAAUAUAACUGUAUAAAAUAAAAUAUGUAAAACGUUAAUCAUAAUAGUACUUAUCAAAAAUAUACGUUUAUCUAGCCAUUGAUUUUUUUCUACAAUGUUAUUUUAAAUAUGCUUCUGAAUACAACAUAGCUAAGGUUAUGUCAGUGCAUGUACAUGCAUGAUAACAUACAUAAUGUAAUUUGAAGGAUUAUAACAAUAAACAUGAAAAC